rfam:Penicillium digitatum PHI26 unplaced genomic scaffold Scaffold_50, whole genome shotgun sequence.
UGAGGCCUCCGACGUGACACAACAUCCUGCAGCGGUGUUGUGUGACCUGCAGUGUCCGUCGCUGGCCUCG